AUGCCAUAUCAUUAAAUGAGCUUUUAAUAUUUUUAAUAUUUUAAUAUUUUUUUCACCCUUCACUUUACAGAAACCUAAAAGACAGGAUAAACCGUGCGGCCUUUGUGACCUUCCUGCAACUCAGAUCAUCAAUCGUUGACUCUGUUUCCAGCAAUAGCGAAGCCCACCCAUCUCUGCUCUGGCGCAGACCAUGUCAUCUCUGAUCUCUUAUUUCUUUCUAGGACUUGUUCGUCAUAAGUGAUUCUUCUAUGGUCGGUGUCUCCUUCAUCCCCACAGUGCUUCUCUUUCAUCGUGAAGAUCUUGUGUUUGUUUCAAUUACUGUGCACACUGGCAUUGGAAUAAUUAUUAGGAAUCACCAUGGGGAGUUCAGAAGUGGUAAAAUUUGCAGGAAUAUCUGAUGUGGAUGCUGAAGCUCGGGCUAAUAUUGAGGGUCUUUCUUUGGCUGCUGACCAAGGCUAUUCUCACAUUUGUGUUGAGUCUCAUUCCAAACCCCUCAUCAAUUGCUGUUUGGGGAAAAUUGCCAAGGGAGCCUGGGAACUCUAUCAAUCAUUUGUAUUCUUGAUGUGGCUAUGAUCUAAUUUUGUUUCUGUGGCUCUGUCUUGGGCAUGUUAGCUAGCAACUUUUUAGUUGGUUCUUUGGAGCUUUUUGUCUGGCUCUUUUUCUGUAUUUCUUUUUGCUGGCGAGUGCCUAACAGAAUUAUUCAGUUACCAAAAAGAACGGUCCAGUUGGUCAAAAAACAACUCACUUUUGGGGACCUGUUGCAAACUGGGGAUUUGUUGCCGCUGUAUGCUUCACUUCCAUGAUAUCUAGAGUGUAUUUGAUUUCAAAUGA